ensembl:lncRNA
CUCUUUGAAAGCUUGCCAGACAGUGCCACCUCUACCUUCGCUUUGUCCCACCCCGGGCUGCAGCCACCCGCAGCAGGGGCAUGGGGAGAAGGGGUCACCCAGAGGCACCUCUGUCCUACAGCCCCCCAUGGCUGGGAUGUCCCCACUGAGGUCACCUCAAUCUGAGAUCCUCCAAAGGACACCUCUUUCUCCAGCCCCUCCAGCCCUGUUAGUUGUGCGCUGAUGUCUGGAUUGAAGAUACGGGCUUCACCCCACCGAGGCAGAAAACACUGAUGGAAAGAGAGAUCAGGAUCAGCUCUACCAAUCCCAGGUUGCUCUGUAAAUCAGAAGAGGAUCGUACUCGGCUCCGUUUUUGCAAAUAGGAAACCUGGAGCGGAGAUGAGGAGACUGAAGAGGAAGCAGCCAGCAAGAUAACCCAGGGGAGUGUGAGGAGCCAUCCAGCUCACACAACCCCUGUGGUCUCACCAGCUCUGCUCUCAACAACAGCUCAGCUGCAUGUUUGACAGCACCUGGCCAACAGUGAAGCCUUGACUCCUCUCCUCAUGAGAAAAAUGCUCUGUGUGCAGAGAAGUGGUGAAAAAGGAUCUUCCUGGUGCGCUCACCCUCUCCAUCUGCCGGGGCUGUGCCAGGCAGAGCUGCUGACAGAUGCAGGCAGUACCAAGCCCUUCUCCUGCACGGACUGGCUGCCCUUGGCUCUCACACCCACCGAAGCCAUUAGCAAUGAGCUCAACCUUCUGUUAUUGCUGAUCCAGGGAGUCUGGAGGCUCUCGGAAGUGCAGCAUCGAUUUGCGCCUCUCACGCGUUCCUCUCAGGGCUUCGGUUUCAGGAAAUAUCUUUGCCUCUCCUCUCUCCUUCACAGUCUCCAGGAAUGAUCUUCCAGAGGGACGCUGGAGCUGGGAGCUAAGGGAAAAACAGCUAGGAGUUUAGUGAGAGGAAUGAGGGCUUAGCAAGGCCUCAGCUUUGGCUGCCUGUGUGCUUUAUUCAUCCUCCUCAUUGUGGGGAGGACACCUUCCCCCCAGACAGUCCGUGCCUUGCUAAGCCAGGAAAAGCCACAGUGGGAAUUUCAGGAAUGCAAAGCGAGCCACAAUCUCACAGGGAGAUGUGGUGUGGAUGAGGGGUGGGAAACACCUCACAUAGCAGCUUAACGGCAAGGACUGCUGGUCUCUGCUCAUCCAUGGCAUGGCCAUGUAAAGGCGAUGUGCCCAGGGCAAUGCCUUCUCCUCCUGGCAGAGCUGCCAGCAUGGCUUGUGCCGACCAGUAAACAGGAGACAGCGUUGCUGUGCAAACUCAGAUAAGGCUGUCUGUCUGCCAGGGAGUGUUCACUGCUGGUAAUGAUCAACUCAGCAGCAUCCUGGUACCCUUGAAAGAAAAUCCUGCUGAGGGCAGGGGCAGGCAGAGGGCAGAAGAGAUGCUUCUAAUUUUUAUUCUACCUGGGCAAGGAGGGCAGACGUGAUUUUUUCUUUUGUGUCAUUGUAUGCACGUAAGGAGCCAAGGGCCCUAUUGUGUUGCAUCUUUUCUAUAGAAAUGGAUCACAAGACAGCCCCAACAUCAGUGUUAAAACCUUGCACAAGCAGCCAGGCAGCACCACGAGGACCAACAAGGCAGUCAAAAAAGAGCUACAGCCAAAACCACAUCACCUCCUCGAGUCUCCUUUCCUGGGUAGGAAAGGUUUGCUGCCCAGCCCAGCACCUUAUCAAACGGGCUGCCUCACUCCCCCCGCAUCCCCAGAAAGACUUUCAGGUCCCUGGGUACACUUCACAAAUGAGCCAUCACAAACGUGAGUGUUGGUGCCAGCUGCCAGAAGCAGAGAUCAAGCUCUCACCUACGUCCAUCAGCUCUGCCUGGGAAGCAGGCUUGCCUUUGACAACAGGCAGAUUAAGAAGCAGACAAACAAGUGCUUGGUGCCCUGAACAGGCAGGCUGUGCUGCUUGCAGCCAUUGGGAAGUGGAGAUGUCCAAGUGGUGAUGAAUUCAACCAUGGCACCACUGGACUCCUGCCCACCUGAGGGACGUGUCCUGGACAAAGCUGGUUUACCCUCAUCUCACCCUCUUGCAUUUCACACAGCAGCAUAUUACUGCAUGCAGGGGACGGGAUUGAGCUGACUCCUUGCACUUACUGCCCUUACAGCUAUGAGAGUCAGAGGAGAAAGAGGACAGAUCACCUUCCACUGCUAACACUGAAAAGUAGACACGAAACAAACCCAGCCUUCAUUGACAGCAUUUACUGCAGAAAUCAACACUUCCUAUACAUAAAAAAAUCAAUGGAAUGUAACUUACCAAAUAAAUCCCCAUUGGACCUGGACCAGGACAAAACCGCCUGCAUCAAGAGGGCCUCACAUGGCCAAAUCCCGACGCUGCCAUCCCUCUCCAAAGCCUCACUUUGUCCCCACCAGGACCACCACCCCAGCUACAAACAGGGUUCCUGCUUGGGAAUAGCUGUCUCAGAGACCAUCCUGCCGCGCCCGCAGGAGCGCACAGCUCUUCUGAUGGCCAUCAGAUGGUGCCAUUGAGUCUUCUUCGGAGGCAAAGCCCCGACGACAGCGAGCUUGGAGCAGGGAGCGCUCAUGUUCCUUGCUGCAGCACACAGGAAGGGAACGGAGCUGGAUUGCCCACCUCCAGAUAAAACCAGAUAAAGAGAUUCCUAGCGUAGGAGCUGGCAAGGAAAGGCGCGUUUGUGCUUUCUGUUGUUUCCAAAGAUGUGAGCAAGCUUCUGUGUCACCACCUGUGGGUUUUGCACCGGUCUUGCAAGGUUGGCUAUAUUCCUGCAGUGAUGUCAGCGUAGGAGAAGGCGACAGCAGCGUAGGAGCAUUUCAGCCUCAGUUUCCUCAAAACAAGGUGUGUUCUCCGCUGGAAAGUGUUAGAAAAAAAGGAACUUAGAUCAAUCAGGGGCAGAAAUGAAAGAGCAGCCGUGUUAGCAAAAGCUCCUUUUUGAGCACUGCGGGACAGCAGAUGCUUUCAGACAGCCCCAGAGAGCUCUCGCUUGGGAGUGACCUCCCCUCCACAUCCCCAUGCUUCUUCCCCUUUUAUUUUUAGCACAAAGCACGAAGCAAGAGGCUUGCACUUCAAGGCACGCCGUUUGCAAUGCUCUCAUCACAUUUGCCUUCUCUCCUUCAGAUAUGGGACCAGAACUUCCCAUGCUUUUGAGCUACUAACUCCCUUUGCGGGUUUUGUUUGUUUGUUUGUUUGUGUUUUGCUUUGUUUUGCAGUGGAUAAAGCCUGCCAUCCAACUGAGGUCCUCAUUGCAAAGAGGCAUGAAUAAUAACCGGCCACAUUUCAUUCCUGUUCUUCUUUGGAUUUUAAUUGCGUGAGAUGAGAGGGGAGAAAAAUGGUAGCAAGCAGAGGAAGCCCGAGAAGGAGAGAGAGGAGGAAUCAUCACUAUUGCAUUUCGUCAGCGAUAAGAAUGGCUGCUGAGCUGGACACCGCUUUAUUACUUGCCGGGCAAAGAAGCCAACUGAAAAGCCAACACGCAAGUCAGCUAUACGUGGAAGAUUGUGUGUGAGCUGCUAUCAAAUAUUGCAUUUUGUACGAAUCUGGUCACAAAAACUGCAGGAGGGAAAAAAAUAAGAAAAUAAACCUUCAGGACAGCUAUUCCAAGGCAGCUCUUAGCCAUACUGAGCCACCUUGGGGACUGCAGCGUCGCUCUUCAGGGCUGGCAGGAUCUAGAAGAGCCCUUGGGUAGACUGGAGCUUCUAAGACAUCCUUACUGUCCUGUAAUUUCCCUUCCUACCACAUCUACAUGUCAAGCAUCAGCUCUUGUAAAACAUCUUGUAUUCAUGUCAUGCUAGCACUUGCAAGCCUGUUGCCCUCAAAAGGACCACCCUUUCGCUAUGAUGUAUAAUAUAACGUCUAGCACAGGUGAGUCCUACAGCCUGCUGGCCUGGAUAUUGUCAAAGAAAUAAUGGCUGCAAAGCAUUUUUCAGAGGGUUUAGGAGCAGAAGGGGAAUUACAGGACAACUACUGGAAAAACCACUGCUCCUAAGUUGACGCAUCUCCGCUUUUCAGAGAUGGAUGGAGACGUCUCUACACAGAGGUGCUGAUGGAGAGAAGUCCCAGCAGGGAAGAAUAUGAAAUAGUGGGUCUGCCAGAGGGAUUCCUGGGCUUUUCAGUGGCUGGAGGGAAAAGGGGGAAAAAAAUAUAAAGACAGUAGCUGUAGUGUUUGUAAUAUCAAUUUGACAACUGAUAAAAACUAUAAAAUAAUAAUCAUAAGUGAGAUAGACACGGAUGCCCCGUGGCAUUGCAAAGUAUGAUAGGAAAGAUUAAUAAAAUAGACGUCAGCUUCUUGAAUUGCUAUUGCAGCAUUAAUUCCCCCCGUGCCAGUUGCUGUAUGCCUUCCUUGAUACGAUCAGGAGGAAAACAUCUAAUCUGACGUGACAACCUCAUUGUAUUAGGAGUCAUCUCUGCUUUAAAACACGUGUCAUAUGACCGAACGCCCCGCUCAGGGUACAAUGCACCCCUCAGUAAAAUCGGGCAGAGCUCAUCCUUAAACGCCCUGCCAAAAAUAUUCCCAACAAAGGCCAACAAGAAAACAUAAUUCAAAUGAGGGACAUCUGCUCCCUAAUGUUUGCAGAUAAUGACUGGAUCGAGCGGCCGCAUAAAGGAGAAUUAUUUUCUGCAGAUGGUUUGAUCUGAUACUUCAAACUGUGUGCGAGAUCUUUGUCCCAGCCGCCCUGCAAAGUGUGUGGGGUUUUGCCGGCGUGAGACUUCUCCCCUAUCCUCUGGUUUCGUAAAUGCAAGGGUGACUGAAAGUGUGGAAGUUGCAGAAGGCAAAAUAGAGCAUGUAUGCGUCGUGCAGGUUUCAGAGGGGAGCCCACUAAUGGUGGACCCUCAACCAGCCUCCAGAAGCCGGUAUAGCUCCCCUCAGGACGCUCCAUAGCUCCCCUCAGGACGCCGCUGGUCCCGAGCAAGGAGGAUCUUGCAAGGAGCCCAAGGAUGCAGCUGUCGGCCAUCGUAGGAGCAGGUUUUAAUUACCUCGUGUCCUACGUGCGUCAUCACCCCCACAUCUGUGAAUAGCUCCACCAAAGACCGGGGCAAUCGAGAAGGAGGUCAUACUUCUGCUUUAGUAUACGCCGAUAAACGACUGUGGCUCUGGGAACAACACACUGAGACGUUUGGAAUGGAAGGGAUUCCUCCUCUCGAUCAGCGCCACUGACAGCCCA